AUGGCAUCGCAGGGGGAGGCUGGUGGAUCGCGUCCGCGUGGUGAGCCUGUUGAGGAGCUGUUGCGUCGUCUUGAUCUGCAGGAGGAUGAGGUUGACCAGUUUGUGUGGGAAGAUGAGUUCAAGGAUGAACAGAUCGCGGCCAAGUGGCUAGCGAUUGCAAAGGUACACACGGAAAAGGGGUUCAGUCCAUCGGCCCUGUAUGCGGAUAUGAGAGCGGCAUGGAAUCCAGCAGAGGAACCACGCUGGAGAAAGAUAGAGGACAACCUCUUCACAGUACAAUUCCAUUGUUUGGGGGACUGG
rnacentral:rRNA from 1 species